rnacentral:lncRNA from 1 species
CCUCCCUUGUCCAUCCUUCCAUCCCUCCAUCCCUUGGUCCCUCCAUCCCCCCUCGUCCAUCCCUCUGUCCCUCCAUGCUCCGUCUCUCCUUCCUUCAUCCCUCGGUCCCUCCAUCCUCCCUUGUCCAUCCUUCCAUCCCUCCAUCCCUUGGUCCCUCCAUCCCUCUGUCCCCCCUUGUCCAUCCCUCCGUCCCUCUGUCCCCCCAUGCUCCAUCCCCCUUGUCCAUCCCCCCUUGUCCAUCCUUCCAUCCCUUGAUCCCUUCAUCUCUCCAUCCCUCUGUCCCGCCUUGUCCAUCCCUCCUGUCCAUCCCUCUGUCCCUCCAUGCUCCAUCCCUCCAUCCCUCCUUCCUUCAUCCCUAUGAUGUCCCUGGGGGUCUUCGGGGUCACAGGGACAUCCCCGGGUGUCCCCAGGGUGGUGGUGACGUCCCCAGGUGUCCCCAUGGUGGUGGUCACAUCCCCGGGCACCCCCGGGGUGACAGGGACAUCCCCAACUGCCCUCAGGGUCAUGGGGACGUUCCCAGGGGUCCCCACGGUGCUGGUGGCAUCCCCAGGGGUCCCCAAGGUGACAGGGACAUCCCCGGGUGUCCCCAGGGUGAUGGUGGCAUCCCCGGUGGUGACUCCAGCGUUCCCGGGGUGGCAGCAGGGAUGUCCCAGUCCCCGUGGUGGCAGGGACGUCCCCAUCCCCAUGGUGGCACCAGUGUCCUCGUGGUGGCAUGGAUGUCCCCAUCCUGUGGUGGCUCCGGUGUCCCUGGGGCAGCAGGGACGUCCCCAUCCCCAUGGUGGCACCACCAUCCCCGUGGUGGCACCCGCAUCCCCAGGGUGGUGGCAGGGACGUCCCAGUCCCCAGGGUGGCAGGGAUGUCCCCAUCCCCGUGGUGGCACCACCGUCCCCGUGGUGGCAGGGAUGUCCCUGUCCCCGUGGUGGCUCUGGUGUCCCAGUGGAGGCAUGAACGUCCCCAUCCCCGUGGUGGCACCACUGUCCCCGUGGUGGCAGGGAU